ACAACCUGACUCUUAGUGUCAUAGUUUUCAUCAUAAUUUCUAUCAGUAACAAUAACAUUGUACUCAUCAAGUUAAGGGCUGCAACCAUAGAGUGCUGCAGGAAUGAGUCCUAAAACC